rnacentral:rRNA from 1 species
AUUGAACGCUGGCGGCAGGCCUAACACAUGCAAGUCGAGCGGAUGAGGGGAGCUUGCUCCCUGAUUUAGCGGCGGACGGGUGAGUAAUGCGUAGGAAGCUGCCCGAUAGAGGGGGAUACCAGUUGGAAACGACUGUUAAUACCGCAUAAUGUCUACGGACCAAAGUGUGGGAUCUUCGGGCCACAUGCUAUCGGAUGCGCCUACGUGGGAUUAGCUAGUUGGAGAGGUAAUGGCUCACAAAGGCGACGAUCUCUAGCUGGUUUGAGAGGAUGAUCAGCCACACUGGAACUGAGACACGGUCCAGACUCCUACGGGAGGCAGCAGUGGGGAAUAUUGGACAAUGGGCGCAAGCCUGAUCCAGCCAUGCCGCGUGUGUGAAGAAGGCCUUCGGGUUGUAAAGCACUUUCAGCGAGGAGGAAGGGUGGUGUGUUAAUAGCACAUCAUUUUGACGUUACUCGCAGAAGAAGCACCGGCUAACUCUGUGCCAGCAGCCGCGGUAAAAC